AAUUUCAAUACGUGGCGAAUCUUUACAGAGUAUAGACGUUUAUUUUAUUAUAAUAUAGCAGCAAUCGGACACUUUAAAUUUAUUUUAAUUGUAAUUUCUCUGCUUAUAUUCUCAGUCUUUUGAUAUUUUGGAAUAUACUUUGUCUUAUUUUCCACUGGUGAAUUGAAUAGAGUUUUCAUAAAUAAAAUUUUAGAAAAGAAAAAAAAACUGAUUAAAUUCGUUUUCUUUUUCCUAGGGAUCAACACUGCCUAUAUCUUGUGGUUAUUGCUUGUAAUUAAUGAUGGGACGUGUAUCUGUCUCUGGCCAUCAUUCAAACAGUUUCGGCGACGGCUAAAAGUUGUAAAGGAAAAAAUUGGUUUGAAGUAUGCGGUGAGAAUAAAAUGUGUAUUUGCCCUAGCUAUCUUGGACCGACAGUCUUAAAUCCUGGUAAUCCACUGAAAGCGUGUGACAAAGGUCAGCUGGUUUGCAGAUUCUGGCCAUGCUGGUUUUGGCUUGAUUUCGCUAUCCCUCAACAAGCAAGGAGGGGACCAAAAGGAGAAUUCAUUAGAUGCAGUUCUGACGACCAAUGUACGAAAGGGAGUGACCGUUGUACACCUGACGGAUAUUGCUGCACCGACACACCAAUAUGGCCACCUAAAUAAUGUUAACAUAUCAAAGAUUUCAACGUAGACGAUCGGAAUUACAAACUUCUUGCUAUGACUAUUUAAUAGAUAUUUUAGCCUUAAUCUAUAAGACAUCAAUAAAUAAUCUCCUUGAUAUAACAUUAUGACCUUAAUAAAAUUACCUAGCAUCUUA